rnacentral:rRNA from 1 species
AUUGAACGCUGGCGGCAGGCCUAACACAUGCAAGUCGAACGCGUGGCGGACGGGUGAGUAAUGUCUGGGACACUGCCCGAUGGAGGGGGAUAACUACUGGACACGGUAGCUAAUACCGCAUACCAUCGGAUGUGCCCAGAUGGGAUUAGCUAGUAGGUGGGGUAACGUCUCACCUGGGCGACGAUCCAUAGCUGGUCUGAGAGGAUGACCAGCAACAGUGGAAAUGAGACACGGUACAGAAGCCUACGGGAGGAAGCAGUGGGGAAUAUUGCACAAUGGGCGAAAGCGUGAUGCAGCAAUGCCGCGUGUAGGAAGAAGGCCUUCGGGUUGUAAAGUACGUUCAGCGAGGAGGCGUUACUCGCAGAAGAAGCACCGGCUAACGCCGUGACAGCAGCCGCGGUAAUUC